rnacentral:rRNA from 1 species
AUUGAACGCUGGCGGCAUGCUUUACACAUGCAAGUCGAACGGCAGCGCGGGGCAACCUGGCGGCGAGUGGCGAACGGGUGAGUAAUAUAUCGGAACGUACCCAGAAGUGGGGGAUAACGUAGCGAAAGUUACGCUAAUACCGCAUACGAUCUACGGAUGAAAGUGGGGGACCUUCGGGCCUCAUGCUUGUGGAGCGGCCGAUAUCUGAUUAGCUAGUUGGUGAGGUAAAGGCUCACCAAGGCGACGAUCAGUAGCUGGUCUGAGAGGACGACCAGCCACACUGGGACUGAGACACGGCCCAGACUCCUACGGGAGGCAGCAGUGGGGAAUUUUGGACAAUGGGCGCAAGCCUGAUCCAGCAAUGCCGCGUGAGUGAAGAAGGCCUUCGGGUUGUAAAGCUCUUUUGUCAGGGAAGAAACGGUUCGGGCUAAUAUCCUGGGCUAAUGACGGUACCUGAAGAAUAAGCACCGGCUAACUACGUGCCAGCAGCCGCCGUAAAAC